UAGGCGCGAGCGGCGGACGGGUGAGUAAUGCCUAGGAAAUUGCCCUGAUGUGGGGGAUAACCAUUGGAAACGAUGGCUAAUACCGCAUAAGCCUACGGGCCAAAGAGGGGGACCUUCGGGCCUCUCGCGUCAGGAUAUGCCUAGGUGGGAUUAGCUAGUUGGUGAGGUAUGGCUCACCAAGGCGACGAUCCCUAGCUGGUCUGAGAGGAUGAUCAGCCACACUGGAACUGAGACACGGUCCAGACUCCUACGGGAGGCAGCAGUGGGGAAUAUUGCACAAUGGGCGCAAGCCUGAUGCAGCCAUGCCGCGUGUGUGAAGAAGGCCUUCGGGUUGUAAAGCACUUUCAGUCGUGAGGAAGGUGGUGUAGUUAAUAGCUGCAUUAUUUGACGUUAGCGACAGAAGAAGCACCGGCUAACUCCGUGCCAGCAGCCGCGGUAAUACGGAGGGUGCGAGCGUUAAUCGGAAUUACUGGGCGUAAAGCGCAUGCAGGUGGUUUGUUAAGUCAGAUGUGAAAGCCCGGGGCUCAACCUCGGAAUAGCAUUUGAAACUGGCAGACUAGAGUACUGUAGAGGGGGGUAGAAUUUCAGGUGUAGCGGUGAAAUGCGUAGAGAUCUGAAGGAAUACCGGUGGCGAAGGCGGCCCCCUGGACAGAUACUGACACUCAGAUGCGAAAGCGUGGAGCAACAGUUAGAUACCCUGGUAGUCCACGCCGUAAAAUGUCUACUUGGAGGUUGGGC
rnacentral:rRNA from 1 species